rfam:Schistosoma curassoni strain Dakar, Senegal genome assembly, scaffold: SCTD_scaffold0004298
AUUCAGUUAAUGAGUCCCUAAUAGGACGAAACACUUGUCCUAGAU